GAUGAACGCUGGCGGCGUGCCUAAUACAUGCAAGUCGAGCGAACGGACGAGAAGCUUGCUUCUCUGAUGUUAGCGGCGGACGGGUGAGUAACACGUGGAUAACCUACCUAUAAGACUGGGAUAACUUCGGGAAACCGGAGCUAAUACCGGAUAAUAUAUUGAACCGCAUGGUUCAAAAGUGAAAGACGGUUUUGCUGUCACUUAUAGAUGGAUCCGCGCUGCAUUAGCUAGUUGGUAAGGUAACGGCUUACCAAGGCAACGAUGCAUAGCCGACCUGAGAGGGUGAUCGGCCACACUGGAACUGAGACACGGUCCAGACUCCUACGGGAGGCAGCAGUAGGGAAUCUUCCGCAAUGGGCGAAAGCCUGACGGAGCAACGCCGCGUGAGUGAUGAAGGUCUUCGGAUCGUAAAACUCUGUUAUUAGGGAAGAACAAAUGUGUAAGUAACUGUGCACGUCUUGACGGUACCUAAUCAGAAAGCCACGGCUAACUACGUG
rnacentral:rRNA from 1 species